rnacentral:rRNA from 1 species
UGGGGAAUCUUCCGCAAUGGACGAAAGUCUGACGGAGCAACGCCGCGUGAGUGAUGACGGCCUUCGGGUUGUAAAGCUCUGUUAAUCGGGACGAAAGGUCUUCUUGCGAAUAGUUAGGAGAAUUGACGGUACCGGAAUAGAAAGCCACGGCUAACUACGUGCCAGCAGCCGCGGUAAUACGUAGGUGGCAAGCGUUGUCCGGAAUUAUUGGGCGUAAAGCGCGCGCAGGCGGAUCAGUCAGUCUGUCUUAAAAGUUCGGGGCUUAACCCCGUGAUGGGAUGGAAACUGCUGAUCUAGAGUAUCGGAGAGGAAAGUGGAAUUCCUAGUGUAGCGGUGAAAUGCGUAGAUAUUAGGAAGAACACCAGUGGCGAAGGCGACUUUCUGGACGAAAACUGACGCUGAGGCGCGAAAGCCAGGGGAGCGAACGGGAUUAGAUACCCCGGUAGUCCUGGCCGUAAACGAUGAGGUACUAGGUGUAGGAGGUAUCGACCCCUUCUGUGCCGGGAGUUAACGCAAUAAGUACCCCGCCUGGGGAGUACGACCGCAAGGUUG